UACGAAGGGGGCUAGCGUUGUUCGGAAUUACUGGGCGUAAAGCGCACGUAGGCGGGUAUUUAAGUCAGGGGUGAAAUCCCGGAGCUCAACUCCGGAACUGCCUUUGAUACUGGGUACCUAGAGUAUGGAAGAGGUAAGUGGAAUUCCGAGUGUAGAGGUGAAAUUCGUAGAUAUUCGGAGGAACACCAGUGGCGAAGGCGGCUUACUGAUCCAUUACUGACGCUGAGGUGCGAAAGCGUGGGGAGCAAAC
rnacentral:rRNA from 1 species